AUGCUCACUUCAGCAGCACAUAUACUAAAAUUGAAAUGAUACAGAGAAGAUAAGCAUGUUCCCUGUGUAAGGGUGAUAUGAAAAUUCAUGAAGUGUUCUAUAUUUUU
rfam:Tupaia chinensis contig1350, whole genome shotgun sequence.